GGAGAGGUGCCGGAGUGGUCGAUCGGGGCGGUCUCGAAAACCGCUGACCUUUCACGAGGUCCAAGGGUUCGAAUCCCUUCCUCUCCGCCA
rnacentral:tRNA from 1 species